rnacentral:tRNA from 1 species
GGCUCUAUAGCUCAGUGGUAAGAGCACUGGUCUCGUAAACCAGGGGUCGCGAGUUCAAUUCUUGCUAGAGCCU